rnacentral:rRNA from 1 species
UACGUAGGGUGCAAGCGUUGUCCGGAAUUAUUGGGCGUAAAGAGCUCGUAGGCGGUUUGUCGCGUCUGCUGUGAAAACUCGGGGCUUAACCCCGGGCCUGCAGUGGGUACGGGCAGACUAGAGUGCGGUAGGGGAGACUGGAAUUCCUGGUGUAGCGGUGAAAUGCGCAGAUAUUAGGAGGAACACCGGUGGCGAAGGCGGGUCUCUGGGCAGUAACUGACGCUGAGGAGCGAAAGCGUGGGGAGCGAACAGG